rnacentral:rRNA from 1 species
GACGAACGCUGGCGGCGUGCUUAACACAUGCAAGUCGAACGAUGACGACCGAGCUUGCUCGGUCUGAUUAGUGGCGAACGGGUGAGUAACACGUGAGCAACCUGCCCUUCACUCUGGGAUAACCUCGGGAAAUCGGGGCUAAUACCGGAUAUGAGCUCCUGUCGCAUGGCGGGUGUUGGAAAGUUUUUCGGUGAAGGAUGGGCUCGCGGCCUAUCAGUUUGUUGGUGAGGUAGUGGCUCACCAAGGCGAUGACGGGUAGCCGGCCUGAGAGGGCGACCGGCCACACUGGGACUGAGACACGGCCCAGACUCCUACGGGAGGCAGCAGUGGGGAAUAUUGCACAAUGGGCGAAAGCCUGAUGCAGCGACGCCGCGUGAGGGAUGACGGCCUUCGGGUUGUAAACCUCUUUCAGCAGGGAAGAAGCGAAAGUGACGGUACCUGCAGGAGAAGCGCCGGCUAACUACGUG